GGGAUAGUAGCAGUGAGGAUGAGCAGAGGUCACUCUCGUCACCUUCUUGGUUUUGGGGACGAGACACACACACACAGAGACAGAGAGAGAGAGAGAGUGCAAAGCAAGGCAAGGCAAGAGGAGUAAGAAGGUCAUUAUGCAAUCUUUCUCGGACUCAGCUCUCUAAUUCUUAAGAUCAGCAGUCUCAAAGUACCAUCUGUGUACUCCUGGGAGCUCCUAAGACACUUUCAAGAGCCACAGCAAAAGAGAUGAAAUUCUGCCUGAACUAUUAUCCUCCAUUUACAGUUAAGUAAACUGAGGCCCUGGAAAAUGAGGCACUUUAGUUUUAAAAGCUGCUAAAGUCUAUUGCUACAUCAUGCAGCUAGCCUGGGCUCUGCUUUGCUUGUGUCAGUCAGCUCUGAAGAAGUCUCUGUCCUGUAAUUUAGACUGUAUGCCAUUAAGUGGGAUUAGUUCAGGGAAAUUCACAGGAAUAACAAAAGACAGAAAACAUGAGGAUGAUGGGCCCCACCCCAGGACGGAAAAUGUGUGGAAACAUCAAGGGAAUAAAAGUGUGUCAGUUUCAGUUCUGGACUCCACAUUUUGCUAGGGACAUUACCAACUAUCCAGAAGACAGAGAUGGGAAAUGUAAAGGGACUGCAAAAAAGCCAUGUUACAUAAAGAACCGUGAAAGAAACUGGAAAUAAUUUCCUUAGAGGACAGAAGAUUCCUAGGAAAUAAGACAAUGAACAAUGAGUGUUGGAGAAUGUCCUUUCCUGCCUCUUAAUCAUUCUGAAUCGAAACUAAUGAUAAACUUCAAUCAAUGACAUUGAGGGGAUGGGUAAGGGAUAAUAUAAAGAGUCCUCUAUGCAUGCUAAUUUGUUGUUACAUGUGACCUAAGAUGGUGGUUUCUUGCUUUAAAGACCUUACUAAUCAUUACAGAGUAUUCUUAUUCUCUGCUCAAUAAUUUGGAAAUGACUUAGGUCCUGUAACUCUCUGUGUCUCUAAUUUCUGAUCUCUGUAUUCAUCCAUGCUGUCUUUAGUACAAGUAUUUAUUUAUGUAGACUUCCCUUGUUCUGUUCUUUAUGUUACAUGGAGGAAAUUCUGAGAAACUUCAUCAGUAGCACUAUGAAACUCCUUCCAUACAGAACAGUCUAGAACAGGCAUUGUCAAACUGGGCUAAAUCUGUUCUGCCAUCUGCUUUUCUAAAGAAAAUGUUGUUGGAACACAACCACGUUCAUUCAUUUCUGUAUUGUCUGUGGCAGAGAUUGACCAUCACGAUAGAGACCAUAUGAGUUGAAAAGCCUAAAACAUUUAUUACCUGGCUCUGAACAGAAAAUACUUGCUGACUUCUGGUCUGGAACAGCACUGUGUAUAUACCUCAGGUUUAAUACUGGAAGUCUCCAUUAGUCCUUCUUCAGAGGUGACUAGAGUGCACAGUCAUAAUGACAGGGCCCCAAGGACUUCUCUAACUCACACUCCCUGUCCAGUCACCUUCACUGCAACAACCAUCUUACCAAGGGGUGCUGUCACUGCUCCUGUCCACUUUCUGGCCGUCAGAUGCCUCGAGAGUUCUUCUUGCCCUUGAUAAGGAAUAAACUUGUCAGUUGCAUGUGGCAGUUUUUCAACUGAUUUGGGAGAUGAUGCAGAUUUUGCUAUUUCUUAACUUUCAAUUGUUGUGUUUUCUGGUUCUCAGUAGGGAGACAUGAAGAAAAUUGCUGAUUCCCUUCAGUUAAAUAACAGUUUAGAUUAAACCAGCAAGAACUUUUGCUCUUUAAUAAAAUGCAAAGUUACC
ensembl:lncRNA LINC02516 long intergenic non-protein coding RNA 2516